rnacentral:rRNA from 1 species
UACGUAGGGUGUGAGCGUUGUCCGGAAUUACUGGGCGUAAAGAGCUCGUAGGUGGUUUGUCGCGUUGUCCGUGAAAACUCACAACUCAAUUGUGGGCGUGCGGGCGAUACGGGCAGACUGGAGUACUGCAGGGGAGACUGGAAUUCCUGGUGUAGCGGUGGAAUGCGCAGAUAUCAGGAGGAACACCGGUGGCGAAGGCGGGUCUCUGGGCCGGUACUGACGCUGAGGAGCGAAAGCGUGGGGAGCAAACAGG